UAGAGGAUUGCAGACACUGUCAUGACUCCUGCCAGCACAUUCAUUUUUCUUCGUUUGGGACCUCAGGGAUUGAUUUUGGAAGGUUGGUGGGAGCAAGGCAAGAAAAGAAAGAACCCGAGGCUCAGAAGAGCAGAGUCAUCCAUCAAGACCACAGAACAGCUGGAAGAAUUUUUCAAAUGGUUUUUGCGAGAAAGUUCAAACCCUGGAAUGACUAAGUCUCUGGAAGAAUUUGGACUUUGUGAGGGGAAUUUGUUGGUAUUUGGUAUGAAUCACCCGGUCACUGAUUUAUGCAGUGAGAAGAUCUUUUGGAAAGCUUUUAGGUCAACCCCCCCAGUUCACACAUGGGAAACUGAGGCUCGGGGAGGUGAGGGGCCAAGGCCACACAGCAUGUCAAUGGAAGAGAGGAGACUAGAAUGUAGGUCUGACUCCCUGGAACCAGCUUCGAGUUUGCGAGAAGCUCUCAUGCACACAGUCUACAUU